AUGAUAGCGAUAACUACUAUGAGAAAGUUAUAGAUAGGGAUAUCCGAAUGGGGUAACCUGAUCGAGGCAAUACUCGAUCGUUCAUACCUGAAUACAUAGGGUAUGAAACGCGAAACCCGCUGAAGUGAAACAUCUCAGUAAGCGGAGGAAAAGAAAGAGAAAUCGAUUCCGUAAGUAGUGGCGAGCGAAAGCGGAUGGAGCCCAAACCGAAGGUAUUCCUUCGGGGUUGUAGGACCACGUCAUAUUCGACCAUACUGGAUAGUAGAACAGCCUGGAAAGGCUGGCCGGAGAAGGUGAAAGCCCUGUAGACGAAAUCCAGAGUGGGAAUUAGUGGUAUCCUGAGUAAUACAUCACACGUGGAACGAUGUAUGAACCCGCGCGGACCACCGCGCAAGGCUAAAUACUAGUUGGCGACCGAUAGUGAACAAGUACCGCGAGGGAAAGGUGAAAAGAACCGCUGUGAGCGGAGUGAAAUAGAACCUGAAACCGUAUGUCUACAAAGUGUCAGAGCAGAGCAAUCUGCGAUGGCGUGCCUUUUGUUUAAUGAGUCUGCGAGUCAGUGUUUGUGGCAAGACUAAGGGCUUCCGGCCCGGAGUCGCAGCGAAAGCAAGUCCGAACAGGGCGCAAUAAGUCGCAGGUACUGGACCCGAAGCGGAGGUGACCUACCCUUGGCCAGGUUGAAGCAUGGGUAAAACCAUGUGGAGGACCGAACAGGUGAACGUUGAAAAGUUCUCUGAUGAGCUGAGGGUAGGAGUGAAAGGCUAAUCAAACCCCGUGAUAGCUGGUUCUCUUCGAAAUGCAUUUAGGUGCAGCGUCACGUGCUGAUGCGCGGGGGUAGAGCACUGACAAGGCUAGGGGGCACACCCGCUUACCAAACCUUAUCAAACUCCGAAUACCGUGCAAUGGAACGUGGCAGUGAGACAGUGGGGGAUAAGCUUCAUUGUCGAGAGGGAAACAACCCAGACCAGCAGCUAAGGUGCCUAAAUAACGCUCAGUGGAAAGGAUGUGGGAUUACACAGACAGUGAGGAUGUUGGCUUAGAAGCAGCCACCAUUUAAAAAAUGCGUAAUAGCUUACUCAUCGAGUGAUCCUGCGCCGAAAAUGAUUGGCGAUCAAGCGUUAUACCGAAGCUCUGGACUUUGCCGCAAGGCAGAGUGGUAGAAGAGCGUUGCAUGCGCGUCGAAGGGCGAUGGCGACUGACCCUGGAGCACAUGCAAGUGAGUAUGCAGACAUGAGUAACGUUAAGCCGGGUGAAAUCCCCGGCCGCCGUAAACCCGAGGUUUCCAGGGCAACGUGUUUCGUCCCUGGGUUAGCCGGGACCUAAGCCGAGGCCGAGAGGCGUAGGCGAUGGACAUCAGGUUAAUAAUCCUGAGCUCGCAACCCUUAAACUGGGGGGACGCAUGAGAAAAGAUGACUAGGUUAUUGAAUUCCGAGUUGAGUCCACGGACUCAGCGCAUCAUUGGAUCGAGUGCCAAGAAAAGCCCCAGCGUAUGCUAAGCGACCCGUACCGCAAACCGACACAGGUGGGUGGGUAGAAUAUACCAAGGCGUAAGAGUGAAACCUGGUUAAGGAACUCGGCAAAUUAGCCCCGUAACUUCGGAAGAAGGGGUGCCUGCAGCGAUGCAGGCCGCAGAGAAAUGGCCCAACCGACUGUUUAUCAAAAACACAGCACUCUGCAAAGACGCAAGUCGAAGUAUAGGGUGUGACACGUGACCAAUGCCGAAAGAUUAAGGCAAGGGGUUAGCCGCAAGGCGAAGCUCUAAACCCAAGUCCCGGUGAAUGUCGGCCGUAACAAUAACGGUCCUAAGGUAGCGAAAUUCCUUGUCGGGUAAGUUCC
rnacentral:rRNA from 1 species